AAGGAAGAAAAAGGUGGCAAGCUGAGUUUCUGAGAUAUUCAGCAGCUCAUCUUGUCUAAAGAUGAGUUGUGAAAUCUUAGAGGCAGUCUCUGAAAGAGACCUAGCAGCAGCCUGGCUCCUAUAGAAGAUGUUCAGAACAGGCAAAUGGAGUAACCUGAGAAAAUUUGCUCUUUAAAGUUUUCCCAAUGAAAUAGGAACAGUAGAUGUUCUUGUCUUAUGAAAAUAUGAUAUUUACAAAAAACAUUCCUAUGCU
rnacentral:lncRNA from 1 species